CAGUAGCCGCGGGAAUACAGAGGGUGCAAGCGUUAAUCGGAAUUACUGGGCGUAAAGCGUGCGUAGGCGGCUUUUUAAGUCGGAUGUGAAAUCCCUGAGCUUAACUUAGGAAUUGCAUUCGAUACUGGGAAGCUAGAGUAUGGGAGAGGAUGGUAGAAUUCCAGGUGUAGCGGUGAAAUGCGUAGAGAUCUGGAGGAAUACCGAUGGCGAAGGCAGCCAUCUGGCCUAAUACUGACGCUGAGGUACGAAAGCAUGGGGAGCAAACAGGAUUAGAUACCCCUGUAGUCCCUGUCUCUUAUAC
rnacentral:rRNA from 1 species